rnacentral:misc_RNA from 1 species
GAUGAAGAACGUAGCGAAAUGCGAUACGUAGUGUGAAUUGCAGAAUUCAGUGAAUCAUCGAAUCUUUGAACGCACAUUGCGCCCUUUGGUAUUCCAAAGGGCAUGCCUGUUCGAGCGUCAUUUGUACCUUCAAGCUUUGCUUGGUGUUGGGCGUCUUUUUGUCUCUCCUUUGCGGGAGACUCGCCUUAAAACGAUUGGCAGCCGGCCUACUGGUUUCGGAGCGCAGCACAUUUUUUGCGCUUUGCAUCAGGAGAAAAGGACGGUACUCCAUCAAGACGUUUACAUUUUUCACUUUUGACCUCGGAUCAGGUAGGGAUACCCGCUGAACUUAAGCAUAUCAAUAAGCGAGGA